rnacentral:rRNA from 1 species
UACGUAGGGGGCGAGCGUUGAUCCGGAAUCGAUUGGGCGUAAAGGGGCGCGUAGGCGGCAAUUCAAGUCACUUGUGAAAUCUCCGGGCUUAACUCGGAACGGUCAAGUGAUACUGCUUUGCUAGAGUGCGGAAGGGGCAAUCGGAAUUCUCGGUGUAGCGGUGAAAUGCGUAGAUAUCGAGAGGAACACCUGAGGUGAAGACGGGUUGCUGGGCCGACACUGACGCUGAUGCGCGAAAGCCAGGGGAGCGAACGGG